UGAAGUAUGAUAUGACUGAGUGGCGGACGGGUGAGUAACGCGUGAGUAACCUGCCCUUCAGAGGGGGAUAGCGUUUGGAAACGGCUGCUAAUACCGCAUAAGACCACGCUAUCGCAUGAUAGAGAGGUCAAAGAUUUAUCGCUGAUAGAUGGGCUCGCGUCCGAUUAGUUAGUUGGUGAGGUAACGGCUCACCAAGACCGCGAUCGGUAGCCGGACUGAGAGGUUGAACGGCCACAUUGGAACUGAGACACGGUCCAAACUCC
rnacentral:rRNA from 1 species